GGGGACUUAGCUCAGUGGUAGAGCGCUUGCCUAGCAAGCGCAAGGCUCUGGGUUCGGUCCCCA
rnacentral:tRNA from 1 species